ensembl:lncRNA
UUGUACCAAUCAGUUGGAUUUUUGAUGACAAUGGAACAUUGAAGUGUCGAUGGACAUCAUCACUCUCAAACAUUAAAAACAAUUCUCCACCAAACCCUAACUGGAAGGUUUAUGACAUUGUGAAGAUCGUUGGACCAUCAAUUGGAGACUAUGAUCAAGCAAAUCAAUACAUCUCAGAUUACACAACGGGGGUCUCAGCAGCAGAGGACUCAAUUACUUAUUCAAUGACAGACCCUGCAGUUGUGGAAUUACCUGAGAAGAGAAAAAGGAAAAAUAAGCUCUGUGAUGAAAGUGACAUCAAUUCAGAGACAUCUUCCUGUGAAGGUCUGUAUAUAUUGAAAUGAUUGGUAUGCAGAAAACAAUUUAGCCAUAACUCUGUGAUCAUUCUUUAUUUGUAUGUACUAAACAGAUGAUAUGAACUUGAAGCAGUCAGGAAAUGAAGUGAAGCAAUCUGGUCUGAAGUCAAGAAAUGUCCCACUGCCCAAACCUCCUAUAUACCAUGGUUAGCCUGUUUUAACUUUGAUGUAGAACUUUGAACUUGCUAAAGCACUUUUAUGUUUUUUCAAUCCAUUUUUUAUUAGUUUGUUUUUUUCUUCUUUUGAACAUUAGUCAAUAUUCAGCUCAUUCAGAAAGUUCAGUGUGACAGUGUUUUAACUUUUUAACUAAACUUUUAUUUAAUAAAAAAUAUUUUUCUUCUGCA